rnacentral:rRNA from 1 species
GACGAACGCUGGCGGCGUGCUUAACACAUGCAAGUCGAACGGAAAGGCCCUGCUUGUGUGGGGUGUUCGAGUGGCGAACGGGUGAGAAACACGGGAGUAACCUGCCCUGGGCGUUGGGAUAACUGCAGGAAACUGCGGCUACUACAGGAGAGGAGCGCCUGCAGCAGGGUGGGGUUCGGAAAGUUUAGGCGGAUGUGGAUGGACUCGCGGCUUAUCAGCUUGUGGGGGGGGUAGUGGCUUACCAAGGCUUUGACGGGUAGCCGGCCCGAGAGGGUGAACGCGGACAUUGGGACUGAGAGACGGACCAGACUGCAACGGGAGACAGCAGUGGGGAAUAUUGCACAAUGAGCGGAAGUGUGAUGCAGCAACGCCGCGUGCGGGAUGACGGCCUUCGGGUUGUAAACCGCUUUAGCCUGUGACGAAGCGUGAGUGACGGUAAUGGGUAAAGAAGCACCGGCUAACUACGUG